CCUUUUCCAGCUACACAAACGAGCUCGGGGUCAUGGCCCCUUCCUCCCUUCCUGGCAAACUGCUCAUGAAGGGCAUUUGUGACUGCAAUUAUUGUAAAGAAAUGUAUCUUCAAAGUAAAAAUUAUCUGUAGAAUAUGCUAAUGCUGUAAACAGUAAUCAGGAGUGGAAAUAAUUAUAUUCAGUAUAUAGUUAUUAAUAUUCAUUAUAUGGGCAUUCAUAUUACUCAAUAAGGGUUUUGGGGGUGUUGUAGUAAAUGUGGGUAUUUACAUAUUAACUUAGAUAAAAGAGUGUGAGGUGAUUAACUCAGUGCGUACUCGACAACUGAGUCGAAGGGAACAAGUACCGCAAUAAAGAAGCCCGUCUACUUAAUCAGCCCCGGAUCAGCCUGCUCAUUUCUUCUCUAACAUCUGGCGUCAUGAACAAGAUCCCAGGGGAGAGUUGUGCCUGAUCACCACGUCUCACCAUGGAUUCAAUGAACACCACCACCACCAAGCGACUGAAACGCUGAACAAUGGGGAGAGCCAGACUGAAAAGUAACCAGCCAGCCUGUGGGGCUUGGAAAUGUUUAUUUUGUUUUUCAGACACUUUAUGGGCAAGCUGGCGCCAGUGAAAGAACAACCCAGAACACCAUGGGUCUACUGUCGCAACAAAAAAUUGUGUUGUGUGUUUUGUGCUGUUUGUCUUAUUACCGUUAUUUUGGUGAAUAUUAUACAAGGUGGGUCAACCUGCCUGGAGAGCUCAGUCUACCCAUCGUGGGGGAAAGCAAGUGAUGUACCACAUUCAUUGAGAACACCAUCCAUUCCCAGUUCCUAAAUGGAGGGUGUGACGUUAUUGACAUGAACUGUGACCAUAUAGAUCAUUGUUGCAACCUGGGUCCUAUGGUUUCACCAAGUCUUGUACAGAGGAGGUCAAGUGGCGUGUCUAUGGAAAGGUUGUAGUUUGCUGCUUAUGAUUAUGCUGUCUGUAUGUGUGUUUCAUUUUUGUAUUUGAAGUUAUGAAUAUUGGCUAUGGUAUUGUAUCUCAAUGUAUUUGAUUCUAAGUAGCCUCAGUGAAGCAUUUGGUCACCUUCUUGAGAAAGGAUUAUUCUCAGUAAGUGUCCAAUCAAGAAACACUUAACUGACAAUGGACUUUGGGAGAUGCCAAUCCACAUCUGAGCUUUCCUGGGAAUGUUCAAACUAACAUGUAAACAACGGCGUCGGCCGCAAAAAGCUGAAU